AGCGAACAUUGCAAAUUAAGCCCCUUUUUCAUGCUUUUGCCGUGUCCUUUUUUUUGAAGGCGGCAGGGAUUCGCGGAACGUGUGUGACCGAAUCAAUGGAGAUCUCGCUAUCUAAUUAAUUUACUGCCCCGUUAGCGCUGCUGACACCCGUUAAUUGAGGGGUAAUUAGCGCGGAGCCGCAAUUAUUCCACCCUCCUCUGGAGUGUCAAUCCGAACCAGUAGGGGGCAGCAUUCAGCUGUAUCCAGCCACCACAAUGGCUGAGGAGAAUGGACAAGAUCAAGACUGUUUACUACAACUCAGAUCAACCGGCCUUUCUUGUUUCUCCAACAAGAUUUUACAUAAGCAGAUGCAACUGGAAUCACUGUAUUAUUUCACUCUUUUGACAUUAGUUUAUGAGGGAGUAAACAAAAUCAGAUGUACUGUAUGUUUAUCAUUAUUUUAUUCGUGGGAGAAACCUCAUUAGGUACAGUGAGCACAUUGAAAUGAAACGGUAUGAGGAACAUUUUUAAUCUCCCAUAAAAUGAGUUCCUGUCAUCAAACAGCUCAAAUGAUAAAUUCUCUUUUAAAAAAGGAAUACCCUAAAUCUUUACAGUCAAGGUUAACUGAGGAAUGCAUAAAAUGUCUUCCUUCAGAAAAGGACACGCUGGAAUUCAAUGCACGUACAGUAUACACACUGUAUGGGAAAGACAUGUAAAGCCCUAUCAGACAUGCAAAAGGCUUCCCACAGUGUGGGUUCUGAUGAGACGGAUGCUUUUGGAAAACCUACCUUUUCUUCCUUUGUUCAAGGUACACAAAGAAAGUAGCCCAGAGGACUGACUUUUCAUGUACAUUUUCUU